UGGGGAAUAUUGGACAAUGGGCGAAAGCCUGAUCCAGCCAUGCCGCGUGGAGGAUGAAGGUCGUAAGAUUGUAAACUCCUGUUAGAGGGGAAGAAUAACUAAGUUUGGAGCUUAGUAUGACUGUACCCUCAGAGAAAGCCCCGGCUAACUACGUGCCAGCAGCCGCGGUAAUACGUAGGGGGCAAGCGUUGUCCGGAUUUACUGGGUGUAAAGGGCGCGCAGGCGGAAUGGAAAGUCAGUGGUGAAAUCCUACAGCUUAACUGUAGAACUGCCUUUGAUACUUUCAUUCUUGAGUUCGGGAGAGAGAGACGGAAUUCCAGGUGUAGUGGUGAAAUACGUAGAUAUCUGGAAGAACACCAGUUGCGAAGGCGGUCUCUUGGUCCGAUACUGACGCUGAGGCGCGAAAGCGUGGGGAGCAAACAGGAUUAGAUACCCACGUAGUCCCUGAGCGGGCUGGCAAGGCGCAU
rnacentral:rRNA from 1 species